AAACUCGGAGACCUCAGCGGUUGCGUGUUGAUUAAUUAAAACGCACAACAUGGUGCGAUACAUAUAUAUGGCGCAGAUCAUGACCGGCUAGGAGAUAUUCUAGGAAGGAAAAGAUUUACAACAAGAGUCCUAGACUUAUACAACAAUCUACAUCCUUAGCCGGUCAAGUCUCUCCAUAUUUAGUUACAUUUCCAUAUUUGGUUUAUACUAUGU
rnacentral:lncRNA from 1 species